rnacentral:rRNA from 1 species
UACAGAGGUCUCAAGCGUUGUUCGGAUUCAUUGGGCGUAAAGGGCGCGUAGGCUGCGGGGCAAGUCGGGUGUGAAAUCUCAGAGCUCAACUCUGAAACUGCACUCGAUACUGCUUUGCUUGAGGACUGGAGAGGAGAUUGGAAUUCACGGUGUAGCAGUGAAAUGCGUAGAUAUCGUGAGGAAGACCAGUGGCGAAGGCGGAUCUCUGGACAGUUCCUGACACUGAAAGACGAAAGCCAGGGGAGCAAACGGG